CUCCAGGGCAACCGUGGCUUUAGAUUGUUACUGUAGAUCUGCAUUGGUAACAGUCUACAGCCAUGGUCGCUCGGGCAAG
rnacentral:pre_miRNA from 1 species